rnacentral:tRNA from 1 species
GUAUGCAGCUCAGUGGUAGAGUGCUUGCCUAGUAUGCACAAGGCCCUCAGUUCCAACCUCAGCACCACA